CUCUCCUCCACUCCUCUCCUCUCUCUUCUUCUUUUCCCUCUUUCUCGCGCUUUCAAUAAGGCAACCUUGAAGAAGUCCAUGUAGUGAGAGUGGAGGUGCCUUUACCUCAGGCCAUCAGGAUUUGAGGUUCUCAGCCCAGUAGUCUAGGAAGAGUUGAAACUAACCAACAACUCUGCUGGUGACCUUGUAGCAGACCAUCCCAUGGUGCACCUCCAGAUACAGCUGCACUCCGGAUCAUCAUCUUGGCUGCACCCUACUAACAGUCCUUCAGUCAGAGACUUGAAGUUUAGCUACACUCUGAUUCUGAGAGCUAACACAAGCUUAUUGUUCAAGCCUCUAAAUUUUGGGCAAUUUUUAAAUGCAGAAAUAGAAAAUUCAUGCACAUGUGCAAUUAACUGCCAAGCGAAGUCAUCUUUGGAUACUCUAAUCAUACUAACAUUUGGGGACAAUCCUAGAAUACUGGAGCUAUCAUUUAGUCAAGAAGAAUUUUGGAAUUUGAAAAGGAAGAUGUAUGAACAGCAUUGGCCAAUCUGACCUGAGCCAAAUCUUCAACAUCAAAGCGUUUUGAUGGGCAACAUGUGUUUUGUACGUGUGCUUAAAAUGAAACUCGAGAGGUCCAUGCCUCGAGGCAACAAGACUCCAGAAGUGACAAAGCAGUACCAUUUGAUUUUGAAUAGGAUCCAUUAUACUUUCUAGGAUGCCUUUAUAUAAACAAUCACACACAAAUCCUGGAAGACGGCGAGCCCCAUAGAGUCCUUUUCCUCAACUGGAUGCCACGACACCCCGCUUUCAUGUCGUAUCCCGCACAGAGUCACCCUUAAAGGUAUCUGGAGCCAGACCUCUCUAGACCGUGCCCUGUGCACACAAGAACACUCCAGGCUCUUCAAAACAGCGAGAAGUGACUCCGCUGAGUUCCGAGAAUAUUUUGAUACGCUGCUUUCUGAAAACAUCCAAACUUACCACCCAUGGAUUUAGAGCCUAGUAAAACACACUGCUCAUUAAAACAUGCUGGUGUCCCCUUUUGUCCCUCGGAUGACUCAGAAGGCACUUGAGUUCCUCCGGGCCAGCACCACAGACAGUGCUGAAAAGAAAAUGCUCGCUUGAAAUCUCCGGACUUUGACUCAGCAGAAUAUCCGAGAGGAGUCUCGGUGAGGGUCCAGUGAUGACGGUGUGCCAGAGGCCUUGAAACAGACCAGCGACUCAUUGCAAUGAACAUUUUGCAGCCGUGGCUCAUUGGACAAAAGGGUGUCCUGUGUGACACACCGCAGCUCCCGAUGCCACUAGGAUGAAUGAAGAGGUGUGGGGAAG